UACAGAGGGUGCAAGCGUUGCUCGGAAUUAUUGGGCGUAAAGGGCAAGUAGGUGGUCUCAUUUGUCAGGGGUGAAAUCCUGGAGCUCAACUCCAGAACUGCCUUUGAUACUGAAGAUCUUGAGUUCGGGAGAGGUGAGUGGAACUGCGAGUGUAGAGGUGAAAUUCGUAGAUAUUCGCAAGAACACCAGUGGCGAAGGCGGCUCACUGGCCCGAUACUGACGCUGAGGCACGAAAGCGUGGGGAGCAAACAGG
rnacentral:rRNA from 1 species